AAAAAAUGUAUCAAAGUAAAAAAGAAAUAUUUAAGGUUUGGGUUCAAAUAUUGAAAUAUUUACUCAAAGAGUAUAAAACUGGAAAUAAGUGGCUUUUGAAAGUUUUGAUGAGGCUGAAACUGCCAAAAUUUUGAAGUAUACUGAUCCCUGUUUUAGUUAGCUGAAAUAAAGUUGUGUCUAACCGUUCUGAUGGUUUUUUCGCUUAUCAUCUAGCAUUUCUGGCUUACUAUUUUAUUUUAAAAGAAAUAGGAAAAAAUAUGCUAGGCUUCUUGCUAUAAUAAUAACCCCUUGAUUAAAGUUCUUAGAAUAAAAGUGACCUAAAGUUCACCAUAUUGCUUUUUUUCUUCUAUUUUUGCUUUUCCUUCUUUGAGAAGUAAAAUGGGGUCAAUGUGGCUUAAUUAAUAGACGUGAUGAGAUAGUGAUUUUGAGAAUAUCUAUGGCUGCAGAUUUUGAAAAGUACUACUUUUAAGUAUUUGCUCAGUUUUAUAUGUUUUAACAAUCCCCCUACUUUAAUACUGUGAGGAAGCUGGGAGUCAAGAGACGGGGAUUACCAACUCUUCACUUGGAGCAGGCAAAGCAUUGGGAAAGCUCAAAGCAUGCAGAAUAGGAAUCAAGCGGGUUUCUGAAGUUUCCCUAACGCGCUCUCCCUCCCCAUUUUCUCUUAUUCUCUCUCCCUUCCCCUCCACCCGCCCCAAUUUUAUUUGAAGUGAAAUGAACUCUGAUGUCUGUGGUCCAGGCACAAGAUGAAGUGAAUUCAGAAGAGAGAAUUUAUACAGCCAUUCUGUUAAGAAAUCCUGUGAGCAUUAUACCCAGCAAGGAAUUCUAUGCAAAAUAAGGAUAACACUUUAGACUAGGAUCCAUGAGGAUGCAGGUUCGAUCCCUGGCCUUGCUCAGUGGGUUAAGGAUCCGGUGUUGCCGUGAACUGUGGUGUAGUUCACAGAUGUAGCUUGGAUCUCACUUUGCUGUGACUGUGGUGUAGGCCGGCAGUUGUACUUCUGAUUUGACCUCUGGCCUGGGAACUUGCAUAUGCUGUGGAUGUGGCCCUAAAAAGCAAAAAAUAUAUUCAAAAUACCUUAAAUUUGUAUGGUGCUUUAUCAUUUCAAAAUGCCAUAUAUACAUGAGCUCACUUCACCUUCAGCCAUUGUUUAUUAUUGUUGGACAAAUUUAAAGUCCGACUCUUCAAGUGGCUGUGACUUAAAUUCAUGCUACUGAUAAAAACAAUUUUUAACAAGAGUACUUCUAAUAUUACUUUGUGCGAAAGGGAACUUGAUAAAGGAACUUUAUGCUAAAGUUUCCUUUUCAUAGUACCAAGAUUUCUUUUAAUUUUUGAGAUGAUAUUUCCUUUUCAAUACUGUUCUGUUAAAGAAAGCUCUUAGUGAAGAUCCUUGAAUAUGAGUUUGAUUGAAGAGGUAUUUUCUUGGCUGUCAUCAAUUUUCUCUUUUCAAUUAUACUGACACUGACCUUCUGGCCAAGGAUUAAUUUUUUAGAAUGAGUUCUGUUUUCCCUUAUACUAUGGUGCCAAUUUAUUAAAAAUGUUGACAUGAAGCAAACAUUUUUAGAUGUUGUAACUAAGAAAAUCAGAUUUUAAAAAAAUUUCUUCUGUGAAAUCAUGUGUAAUUUCUAGAACAUACUAAGUUGUAGUAUGAAUAGCACUGACUCAGCAAGAAUGAUAUUCCAAAGAAAUUCCUUUACUAAAUUUAAGAUUAACAAAAUGGGAAAAUGAUGUAGUCACAGUGGCUCUGCAUUUCAGCAAGGCAGUAGAUAAAAUCUUUUUCCUAUUUCCUGUAUUGAUAUUUGUGUGAAUAACAUGUGGAAAUGAAAAUGUAAUAGUAGAUACAUUGCAACUGAUAGAAAAUAGUUUCCAAAGAUCAUUGCAUAGUGGAUCAAGGUCAAUCCAGAAGGAAGUCUCCAGGUCUCUGACAGAGGUUUCCUUAUGUUCAUUUGUCUUGGUAAUGGCUUGAUGGAAAACAUAAAAUUUAAGCUCAUCAUAACUGCAGGUAGUCUGAAAAUGAUUCAGGUGGCUGAGCUGGUGAAUAACAGGCUUAGGAAUUUUAAAGGUCUUUAUAGUCUGGUCCCUGAAAAGAAACUACAUGGAAAUGGUUUUAUUAUUUGUAUCCAGAUGUUAAAUAAUUUCAUUUUGGCCUCUUCUGGAAAUGUGUUGUGUCCUUUAUAUGUACAGGAAUGAGUACAAAGACAGAUGAGAAAGGCAGUCUGAACUGUAGUAAGUUCAACAUGAAUAUAUAGGGUGAUAUGGUGACAGAAAAGUUAACUCACUUUUAUAAAACAUACACACACACAUACAGAACCUUAGAAACAGACUUGUUUGUUUAGUACACAUUAUUUGGGUGCUUCACUGGCAAAUGGAUAUAAAUUCAGAGGAAGGAGAGCAAAAUAGUCUGAAAGGAUUUUUCAGAGGAGGAUUAUUCCAAGUAAGACUUAAUUUGGAGAAAGAAUGACUUAGGAAAUUGUGAGAUAGCCUCACAUUUUUGGAAGGGUUUCUAUUUGGAAGUUAAACUAAAAUAUUCUUUCUAAAGUCUGAACUUGAAACCGUAGAAGAGUGACAAAGAGGAGGGUUUGAGUUAAACACAAUGGGAGGAAACCUCCCUCCCUCCCAACCCUUCCCUAUUCUGAGCUGUUUAGAAAUAACUGGGUUGUGUUGGAGCACUUAGCUUCUGGAAAUGUCCAUGCGGUGAUCAGAUGUGUAGCUUGUCAGAGAUGAUUUAGGAUGGAAUGGCUCUGUGGAGAGGAAGUUAAGACCAUCAAGUCUCCAAUCUUUUUCCAAGUUGAAGAUUCUAGUAUUACAUUCUGUUGUUUUUAGAACACAUACUUGUAUCUGAACUUACAAGUUCUUUUAAAAAAGUUAAGAAAACCUUAAAUGAGUGGAAAUGUGUUUUUAGAUGUCUUCUGGGAUUUAAAAUAAAAACAUGUUUGAGAAAAUCCUCACUCAUGUUUGACAAGAAUACUUAAAAAUUUAAUAUGGAAUUUCCACCAUCAGUUGCACAGUUCUCAAACAUCCUGUGCUAUAAAAUGUGAGAACACUUUAUAAAUUACCUGAGAACUUUUCAGAGAAUUUAUUGUGGCUAUAAACUUGGAAUUGAUUUUUUUUUUUUUGGUAUUUUCUUUUGCUGUGUAUGUAACUUGGCUAGUUCAUUACAUACUAGCCUAUUAGUUUAGUAAAAAUGAUUCAUAACAGAUAAAAUUUAUGUCUGAGAAUAAGAACAUAUUCAACAUUGACUAUUGUAGAUGUGUUAGAAUUUUAAAAAAUGACAUUUUAUAUUUUUAAAACCUCACAUAUCAGUAAAUAGAAAUUGCUGCUAUAUCUUAUUUUCCCCAAUUUUCUAGUCUAUGAUUUCAUUCUGCGAUGAGCUGAAACGUUAUCAAGCGUUGCUAGGUGUUGUAAAAGAAUUGUGUGUAACUCUGCCAAUUCUUAAUUCACUUAAUAAAAUUACUCUAGCUCCUGAAAGAUGGGAUAAAUGUUACCUUACUGUAAAAACUAUCUUUUUACCUUCUUUAGAUAUAAUUAUUUAAAAACUCAAAUAGAUAUCCUAAGAAUUCAAUUCAGAUAUGAUUGCUAUAAAAAAACAUGAGUUUGUAUUUUAUUUGAGAGAUUUAGUUAAAUAAGAAGGCUUUCUUAAGAAGUAGAAUGUGAACUUUUUAUACCUUUCAACUAUAUUGCAAGAGCUUCCACUCAAAAAGUUGACUUUUUGGUAGGUUUCACAUCCCUGUAUUUAUCUAUCCCCAUUUAUCUAAAGCAGAUCAUAUUUUCCUAUUCAUACAUUUAAUAAACACUGAUUAUUCACUGAUAGUGACUAAUGUGCUAGACUUUUCGACAUGGACCUCUGAGACUGAAUCAUUGUUCUCUCUUUUAAUUCAAAAUAGAUUUAGCAGUGAGCUAUAAAAAGAAAUUCACUUAAUCUUUAUAUGGGGUCUCAUUUCUUUCACAAUCUGCUUUGGAAUUAUGGGACCGCAAUUCUGGGCCACGAUGAGGAAUCGGGGCCUACUGGGUCCAGAAUAGGCAAAACUACAUUCAGCCUAGCUUGUAUGUAACAAGAGUAGUGGGGUGGCCAGGUGUCUAAACCACAGAGUCCAAAGGAUGUACUGAAUGCACACUUGAGUCCAGUCAGUGUUAGCUAUCCAGUAGGAUUCUAUCAUGUGGAUGGUCCAUGGCUGGAAGAGUUUCCAAGAGGGUAAUUAAAAAAAAAUAAUGGUGACUCCAGGUAUCUGUCCAUUUUGUAGUAAGUCCUUAUUUAGCCCCUGGACACCUGUGGAAAAGAUCAGGAAGAAACUAUUGUCAGUGGUCAGAUUGUUUCGGCUCUAAUCUGGAAGACUGGGGUUUAGGAUUUGUGUAGAGUCACAGCUUGGAAAUGGGCUAAGCAGGAAUGAAGGCAAAAGCCUAGUUGCAAUGAAUGAGAGAACAGGGUAGAAGUUAGAGCAAAAUAGCAUUAGAUUGGCACAUGUUUCUCCAGACUCAUGCCAGUCUCAGUGUAUACCAGGCACACAGAAAGAAGGCGAAUUCUGGGCUGUACCCAUCGGUGAGACUGUUCCAAGGACAAAAUUUGAGCAGGAAAUUGGUGGGGUAGGGCUUAUGUGUAUUAGAAUGUGGUUAAUAAAUGAAUGCGUUCAGUGAGUAAAAGAGAUCCCC
ensembl:lncRNA